UACGGAGGAUGCGAGCGUUAUCCGGAUUCAUUGGGUUUAAAGGGUGCGUAGGCGGACUAUUAAGUCAGUGGUGAAAUCCUGCAGCUUAACUGCAGAACUGCCAUUGAUACUGAGAGCCUUGAGUUUGGUUAAGGUAGGCGGAAUGUGUAAUGUAGCGGUGAAAUGCUUAGAUAUUACACAGAACACCAAUUGCGUAGGCAGCUUACUGAGCCGACACUGACGCUGAGGCACGAAAGCGUGGGGAUCGAACAGGAUUAGACACCCCAGUAGUCCGUAGCCAC
rnacentral:rRNA from 1 species